GCCUCUUCGUGGUUCAGUGGGUCAGGGCUUUUGGCUGUUAACCAGAAGGUUGGUGGUUUGAGCCCAUCCAGGGAUG